rnacentral:lncRNA from 1 species
CUUCGAGGCCCCUAUCGGCACCACCACCGGAUUCCGUGAGGCCAUGUUAUGUGCCGUAUGCGGCUGCCACCGCAACUUCCACCGGAGAAUCGAGGUGGAAAUUCCGCCACGCCACCGCUCCUCCUCCAUCCGCCACCACCAACAACAACAACAGCCCGCCUCGCACCCCGACCAACAACAACAGCCCGCCUUGCACCCACACCAACCACAACAGCCCGCCUCGCACCACCACCGUGGUGGCAGAGGCACCAUGAUCAUUCGUCG